GGUUAAUUUAUCUUUGACUUAUUUAUAAUUUUGUUAGUUUCACUAAAAUUACGUACGACUUAAUGCUGUUUUGAGCGGACGAUUGUAAGAUGUGGAAUUAUGAUUAAAAUUUACCAUGCAGCAAUCUGAUCAGGUAGAGUUCAAAUCUCGUCAUUCCUGUCAUUCCCAUUCUUGUCAGAGUUAUCUUUUUUCAUGUCAUCCAUGGUCUCUAAGGUUGGUAUACCUUUGGUUUCUGGUAAAAAUAAUCCAAGUACAGCUGCUUGAAGACAUAUUGCUCCCAUUAUGCUGUAUGGUAGUGCCGCAUGAAUGCGAAU